AUUCUAAUAGUUUAUUUAAAACACUUCAUUUUCAAUGAAAAAAAAGAUUUAAUUCUUUAGAAUG
rnacentral:tRNA from 1 species